GGUCUCUAUCUAUCGUGGGCGUGGGAGUCUUGAGUGGAUCGGACACUAGUACGAGAGGACCGUGUUUGACUGACCUCCGGUUUACCGGUUGUACCGCCAGGUGCACCGCCGGGUAUCCGCGUCGGGAUCGGAUAAGCGCUGAAAGCAUCUAAGUGCGAAGCCGGCCACAAGAUGAGGGCUCCAUUGAGGGUCGUCGUAGACUACGACGUUGAUAGGGUGCAGGUGUAAAGACAGUGAUGUCAAAGCCGAGCACUACUAAUUGCCCGAAGGCUUUCGC
rnacentral:rRNA from 1 species